UAGACCAAGUUUUCAGCCUGGCAGUGC
rnacentral:piRNA from 1 species